rnacentral:lncRNA from 1 species
UCUCUCCUCAUUAUCCUUCUUCUCCUUAUUUCAACAUUUUCCUCUAUUUUCCUUCUCACGUAAGUUUCUUCACACCAUCAUCUCUCUCUCUCUUCUUUUCCAUUUUUAUUUCAUCCUCCUUCCUCCUAACAUUCAAAAACCCUAAUCUACGUCCUCUGUAGCCACCAGAAUUAAAAUCAAAAACCCUAGAUCUGAUUAUAUAUUUCACGUUGUGGAUUCUUCUCUCAAAGGAUUCCAGUCAGCUAGGGUUUCCUCCACAGCAACUGGUGGUGAUGAUUGAUGAUAAUAGAGAUGACGAUAGUGGUGGUUCUGGCUACGAUUAUGGUGACUCUCGGAAUUGGCCAACUGGGGGAAGAAGACGUUGCAAUUGGAUUGCCCUUUGACUAAAAGGUAUAAUAUGCUUAACUUUCUACCCUAUUUGUGACCAUACCUACUGUUUCUACCCGAUGUGUUAGACACCGAUUAGGGUUACCCUCUAUUUUCUUAUCUUGAUUUUUGCAUUUUUGUUGCUUAUCAAAAUUAGCCUUAAACGGGUUUCAAAUAAGAUUAAAGAGCGAGUACAAAGUACUAUAUAUAAUAACAAUCAAGCUUAUUCUAAUUUAUAGAUUUGAUUACAUGGAUAAAUUGUUUUGUUGAAUCCAGUAAAUUGUAAAUUGUCUGGUCUUUUAACUUACACUUACUUGAUGAUGUUGGUGGGUUUUUUUUUCUUAUUUUUAGUUUUUAUCCUGAGUGUUUUGCUUUUAAUCUAGGGUGAACCCAUCGCGAGCCGUAAUCUGACAAUGAAUCGUGUAAAAUUGCUACCAUUAUUUAGGUACACACAAAGUUCAAUUUCGUCAUCUGUUAAGGCAUGCCCACCAGGUGUUUGUGUUUAUGCGUGAAAGAAAUGAGUCAAUGAAAUUUGUCUAAUUUAUACGGUUGUUGAGAAGGGGUUCUCUCACCUAACUUUUCUUGAUUUGGGAUGUUGUUAGUUUGUUUUGAUUGUGUGAUCUAAUGUUUUGUUGAACAAGUGGACAGUGCUACUAAACAUGGUAUUCUUUUCGACGUUGUGCAACUGCUCACUGACCUAAACUUCAUCGUUACAAAAGCAAACAUUAGUUCUGAUGGAGUUUUCAACACCAAUGAUCAAACAUGUAAUAGGUAGCUUGAAAGAGCCGGUUGAGGAUAAAAGUCAUUGAGUGCAUUCAAGUUAUUAAAAUCUCAAAAUAUGUUGUUUGGGGCGUGAUGGCCAGUCAUCGUACGUAUGUAAAAUCAUUCGCAGCAAAUAUUCAUUUUAGUUGUUUUUCUUGCUUUUUUUAAUCAAGAUUCCAUAUUUCUGUUCUCCAUGGAGAAACAUGAUACACCUUCAUUGCUGAUAUUUGUUGGUUUAGCAACGAUACUAAUUUAUAUAUGUAUAAUAACAUAUAAGAAAUAGUAGUAAAUAACUAGACCUAUGAAUUUAAUCAAAGGCCGAUGCAAGAAAUAAGAGUAAAUGAUGUUUUCUUUUCUGUUGUGCUCUGGACUUUUAGGUCCACUUGAAUUCGUUGAUGCGAUGACUUUAGCAGAGGCGUGGACUGUAUCCAUUAUCUUCUUAUAAGGUCCACUUGAAUUUGCUGAUGCAAUGACUUUAGCACAGGUCCUCAACAUGCCAUUGCCACCAGAUUCAGUAUGGUUGUUUUUGUGAAUUAUAUAUGGGUAUUCAUUUUUCAAUGGGAAAGCUAUUGGGUCGGUUAAUCAGGAGUUUUGAUCUUCAUAACAAGUUUUCCUUCUCGGUGAGGUGGUAAUUUUUUUUUUGGAAAGACCGUUGGUGUCAUUCAGGUCUUAUUAAGGACCGAUUCCCUCUUCUUUUCUCUAUGGUCAAAUAGAAAUAUGCUAUGGUUAAAGAUUGUGUAGGAUUGGGUAUGGAAGCGCAUUCCGGACACUGAUGCGGAGAAGGCUGAGAUGGAUCAAUUGUUGGGUGUUCUUAAGUCCCAGUGCAUAAAAGAUUAGGGAGACUCCUGUUGGUGGAACAUAGGGGGGGUUAAAGAGUGGUUUACGGUGAAGCGAGUGAGGCAGGACAUCAAUCAGUUGUGUUUGGCUUCGGGUCACAUCGAGUCAUUCAAAUGGAGGUUUAUAGUCAUUCUGAAGGUCAAUUUUUUUGUGUGGCGGGUGGUGAAAGACAGUAUCCCUUCUGUAGAGACUAGCUGGGAGAGGUGUGCUUACUAAAGAGAAGAGACAUGGUUUAUGCGGUGUUCUUAAUGACGGAGUGGAGAUUUGGAAGGCUCGGAAUGAUAAAAUCUUCAAAAGCGAAAACAGUUCGACCCUAAGGGUGUUGGAAUACAUUAAAGACACAACCUUUUGGUGGAUAUCUAGAAGAUUAAAGAUUACGGGAGUUAGCAGCUCGAAUUGGAGUUCCUUUGUGGGCAUUGACUUCGGUUAGGUGCUAGGUUUUUUUUUCUUUGUGUGGUGUGAGGUAGGGAAGUGUAUUUUAUUUAGUCUGCGGAUGUUGCUAUGUUGUCUAUUCAUUUAUUUUUAUGCUGGGCAUUUGUAGGGUGUUAGGGGGAGUUGUCUUUUGGCUAAGCACUUUGUUUGAUUUUGGUGUGGAAUGAAAGGUUUCGU